CUUAAUGAUGACUUCAUGACACGAAAGGCAUUCCUCAUUCUUAACCAUCAUGUCGAAUCUGUCAACUACAAGUUUCAGCCUUGUCUGACC
rnacentral:snoRNA from 1 species